UGUGGAAUCCCAAUGCCGGGCAGCCAGGGCCAAAUCCAUAUCCCCCCAAUAUUGGGUGCCCUGGAGGUUCCAAUCCUGCCCACCCACCACCUAUUAAUCCACCCUUUCCCCCAGGCCCCUGUCCUCCUCCCCCAGGAGCUCCCCAUGGCAAUCCAGCUUUCCCCCCAGGUGGGCCCCCUCAUCCUGUGCCACAGCCAGGGUAUCCAGGAUGCCAACCGUUGGGUCCCUACCCUCCUCCAUACCCACCGCCUGCCCCUGGAAUCCCUCCUGUGAAUCCCUUGGCUCCUGGCAUGGUUGGACCAGCAGUGAUAGUGGACAAGAAGAUGCAGAAGAAAAUGAAGAAAGCUCAUAAAAAGAUGCACAAGCACCAAAAGCACCACAAGUACCACAAGCAUGACAAGCAUUCCUCCUCUUCCUCCUCCUCUUCCAGCAGUGAUUCUGA
rnacentral:lncRNA from 1 species